GAGUUCAACUCGUAGGCUUCCCCGGCUUUUCGCGUGGAUCUGGUUGCAGACGCCCUCGGUCUCUCUUCUCGGGCUGCCGAGGCGAAGCAGCCGCCUCGCCGGGGCUUCGUGGUGGUGUAUUUCAUAUUGGGGCUCUUUUCGGGGUUUGUAAUUUGGCCGUGGGUAGGUAAUUGGCUGGAGCAGGGCGGCAGGGUGCGGCAGCCAAUCAGCGCGCGGCUUCUAUAGGGCUUGAGUUAUUAGACGCUGAUCUCAAAACAUCCUUCAUCAGACUCCAAGGAGAGGCCAACAGAUGAGGGAGCCAUUUUUCUGCAAUGGAAUUAAAUGGCCAAGUGGGUUUUUCCUUUGUUGCAAAUGGGGAAUGCUUUUCCUUUGACUCCACCAUCCAGUUCAGGACGCCUGAAUGUGUUUAACAUUUGCCAAAGGACUCACACUUGGAAGAAUGAAGACCUUUUAAAAAGAUCUGGAUUUUUCCUUAUGACUUGGAAUCCAUCUUUGUCUUGUAUAACUAGGUCAUAGCACACUAUUAAUGUCAGCAGUUAACAGUUUUGAAUUCAAAAAAACCUAAGUAAAUGACAUAUUUAAUUUUUUUCCUUUUUUUUUUUUCUCGGGUGGGUGGGUGGGAGAGCUUGGAGCUGUCUUAAUCUGUAUUCUCUUGACUGAACAAUAAAUUUUUAAAUAUAGUUUCCUCUAUUAAACACUUAAGCCUGACCAUCUUAUUAAUUCUAUUUUUUAACAAGGUAAUGUUUUAAAUGUAUAGUUGUAGCGAAACGGCAACAAUAACAAAAAAACUGUGAGCUGUUGUUACUGUUAAAUUUUCUAAAAACCUUUUACAUUGUAAGUACCCAAUCCAUUCUGUCCUUAACUGCACUGCCGUUCUCGUGUUACUGUCGCCUGAGAUGUCCUGAAUUUUCGGAAGCUUCAUCUGCAUGUAUGUCUUUGUCUUUGUCUGAUGUAAGUCAGUUAAAAUGCUUUUAGACGUUUUUGCUUCUAUAAAGCUACGAUUUUUUAGCUUCGAGCUUUUUGGAAAAAAAAAAAUGUUUACAGCCAUAGUUGCUAUUCAGAUUUCUUCCCAGUAGCUCGUACACUCUUUGAAAAUCGAUCUAUUUGAAGAAAAACAGCUGUUUUUCUCGAACUGGGUGUGGGGUGGUGGAGGGUAAGAGAAAGGAAGACCUUUUGUAUAAAAAAAGACUGAAAGCCGCCUCUGAAAACUAGAUUAAAACUGGAAAACAAGCCCUUAGCCGGUUCAAGCCAAACACCUACGUUGAGUCGGUGGUAUUUUCUGUGGCGGUUGGGAUGGCUGGUUUUGCCUUUUGUUUUGAUUUGACUUGUGUUUUCGCCUUUUGUUUCUUAAUGACGAUCACACCAUUGGUAAAUCCAGAGCACUAAACAGCCCUCAGCGAAGCCGCCUUUUUGCCAGCCCAACCCUGGAAAGUUUGCAGUCGUGGAAGGAGCAGAAAUACCACGAGUGUAACUUACAAAGAAGGUAACAAAGGGACACCAGAACCCCAGGUUUCCCCCCAACUAAACAACCAAACAUCCCCCACCUCCCAAAAAAAGACCUGUUAUUUUUAUAAUAUCUCCAAAAGCGCCGGCCAGCUUUUUCUUCUAGACGCCAUGGCGCCGGGCUGAGUGGGUAAGUAAAAAACUAGACUAAAAAAAUUUGUUUUCAAGUGUCUUUUUCCCCCUUCGAGGAACUCUCGAUUGAGCAGGCCAUGGGCUGCAGAUGAUUGGGAGCUGGGAUUUCUUGAGCUUGAGCUUGGCAGCCGAUUGCAGUGGGUGGGUGAGGGGACUAGGGCUCUCCAGACCCCUCUGCCUCUUUUGCACCCAAAGGCGAAGAGAGCCUGUCCCCAGUACCCUGGGGCAUCCAUGGAGCCGCCUGCGCUAGUCCCUUUGGCUCGCCUCAGGUUUGCACCUUAGUGGCAGAGAAGAAAUCGAAGUGUUUUGGAGAUGGAGGGGCUGAAAAAAGCGAGGAAACCUUCCCA
rnacentral:lncRNA from 1 species